UACAGAGGUCCCGAGCGUUGUUCGGAUUUAUUGGGCGUAAAGGGUGCGUAGGCGGCGGAGUAAGUUGGGUGUGAAAUCCCGGGGCUCAACCUCGGAAUGGCAUUCAAUACUGCUUCGCUCGAGUACUGGAGAGGAGGCUGGAAUUUACGGUGUAGCAGUGAAAUGCGUAGAUAUCGUAAGGAAGGCCGGUGGCGAAAGCGAGCCUCUGGACAGUUACUGACGCUGAUGCACGAAGGCCAGGGGAGCAAACAGG
rnacentral:rRNA from 1 species